rnacentral:rRNA from 1 species
GAUGAACGCUGGCGGCGUGCCUAAUACAUGCAAGUCGAACGCUGGAACUCUAGCUUGCUAGCUUGAAGGAGUGGCGAACGGGUGAGUAAUACAUAAGCAACCUACCCACGAAGACUGGGAUAAUCUCUGGAAACGGGGACUAAUACCGGAUAGGUAAUCGGAAGGCAUCUUCUGAUUAUUAAAGGUUAAAAACACUGGUGGAUGGGCUUAUGGCGCAUUAGUUAGUUGGUGAGGUAACGGCCCACCAAGACGAUGAUGCGUAGCCGGCCUGAGAGGGUGAACGGCCUCAUUGGGACUGAGACACGGCCCAGACUCCUACGGGAGGCAGCAGUAGGGAAGUUUCGGCAAUGGGGGAAACCCUGACCGAGCAACGCCGCGUGAGUGAUGACGGCCUUCGGGUUGUAAAGCUCUGUUGUAAGGGAAGAACGGUAGAUAGAGAAUAUCUAAAUGACGGUACCUUACCAGAAAGCCACGGCUAACUACGUG